rnacentral:rRNA from 1 species
UUAACCUACGGGGGGCAGCAGUGGGGAAUAUUGCACAAUGGGGGAAACCCUGAUGCAGCGACGCCGCGUGAGCGAGGAAGUACCUCGGUAUGUAAAGCUCUGUCAGCAGGGAAGAAAAUGACAGUACCUGACCAAGAAGCCCCGGCUAACUACGUGCCAGCAGCCGCGGUAAUACGUAGGGGGCAAGCGUUAUCCGGAUUUAUUGGGUUUAAAGGGUGCGCAGGCGGAGGUGCAAGUCAGCGGUCAAAUUGCGGGGCUCAACCCCGUACUGCUGUUGAAACUGCAUCCCUUGAGUGCGCGAGAAG